UCCUACGGGAGGCAGCAGUGGGGAAUUUUGGACAAUGGGCGAAAGCCUGAUCCAGCAAUGCCGCGUGUGUGAAGAAGGCCUUCGGGUUGUAAAGCACUUUUGUCCGGAAAGAAAUCCUUGGCCCUAAUACAGUCGGGGGAUGACGGUACCGGAAGAAUAAGCACCGGCUAACUACGUGCCAGCAGCCGCGGUAAUACGUAGGGUGCGAGCGUUAAUCGGAAUUACUGGGCGUAAAGCGUGCGCAGGCGGUUUGCUAAGACCGAUGUGAAAUCCCCGGGCUCAACCUGGGAACUGCAUUGGUGACUGGCAGGCUAGAGUAUGGCAGAGGGGGGUAGAAUUCCACGUGUAGCAGUGAAAUGCGUAGAGAUGUGGAGGAAUACCGAUGGCGAAGGCAGCCCCCUGGGCCAAUACUGACGCUCAUGCACGAAAGCGUGGGGAGCAAACAGGAUUAGAUACCCUGGUAGUCCACGCCCUAAACGAUGUCAACUAGUUGUUGGGGAUUCAUUUCCUUAGUAACGUAGCUAACGCGUGAAGUUGACCGCCUGGGGAGUACGGUCGCAAGAUUAAAACUCAAAGGAAUUGACGGGGACCCGCACAAGCGGUGGAUGAUGUGGAUUAAUUCGAUGCAACGCGAAAAACCUUACCUACCCUUGACAUGGUCGGAAUCCCGCUGAGAGGUGGGAGUGCUCGAAAGAGAACCGGCGCACAGGUGCUGCAUGGCUGUCGUCAGCUCGUGUCGUGAGAUGUUGGGUUAAGUCCCGCAACGAGCGCAACCCUUGUCCUUAGUUGCUACGCAAGAGCACUCUGAGGAGACUGCCGGUGACAAACCGGAGGAAGGUGGGGAUGACGUCAAGUCCUCAUGGCCCUUAUGGGUAGGGCUUCACACGUCAUACAAUGGUCGGAACAGAGGGUUGCCAACCCGCGAGGGGGAGCUAAUCCCAGAAGACCGAUCGUAGUCCGGAUUGCACUCUGCGACUCGAGUGCAUGAAGCUGGAAUCGCUAGUAAUCGCGGAUCAGCAUGCCGCGGUGGAUACGUUCCCGGGCCUUGUACACACCGC
rnacentral:rRNA from 1 species